AGCUGAGUUGAUCCUGGCUCAGAGCGAACGCUGGCGGCAGGCCUAACACAUGCAAGUCGAACGAACUCUUCGGAGUUAGUGGCGGACGGGUGAGUAACACGUGGGAACGUGCCUUUAGGUUCGGAAUAACUCAGGGAAACUUGUGCUAAUACCGAAUGUGCCCUUCGGGGGAAAGAUUUAUCGCCUUUAGAGCGGCCCGCGUCCGAUUAGCUAGUUGGUGAGGUAACGGCUCACCAAGGCGAUGAUCGGUAGCUGGUCUGAGAGGACGAUCAGCCACACGGGAACUGAGACACGGUCCCGACUCCUACGGGAGGCAGCAGUAGGGGAAUAUUGGGCAAUGGAGGAAACUCUGACCCAGCGACG
rnacentral:rRNA from 1 species